UACGAAGGGGGCUAGCGUUGCUCGGAAUGACUGGGCGUAAAGGGCGCGUAGGCGGCUCAUCCAGUCAGGCGUGAAAUUCCUGGGCUCAACCUGGGGACUGCGCUUGAGACGUGUGGGCUUGAGUGGGGAAGAGGGUCGUGGAAUUCCCAGUGUAGAGGUGAAAUUCGUAGAUAUUGGGAAGAACACCGGUGGCGAAGGCGGCGACCUGGUCCUUGACUGACGCUGAGGCGCGAAAGCGUGGGGAGCAAACAGG
rnacentral:rRNA from 1 species